rnacentral:rRNA from 1 species
UAAUACUUACUGGAGGUCCGAACCCACGCACGUUGAAAAGUGCGGGGAUGAGGUGUGGGUAGCGGAGAAAUUCCAAUCGAACUUGGAGAUAGCUGGUUCUCUCCGAAAUAGCUUUAGGGCUAGCCUCGAGGUAAAGAGUCAUGGAGGUAGAGCACUGUUUGGACUAGGGGCCCUUCUCGGGUUACCGAAUUCAGAUAAACUCCGAAUGCCAUGUACUUAUACUCGGGAGUCAGACUGCGAGUGAUAAGAUCCGUAGUCGAAAGGGAAACAGCCCAGACCACCAGUUAAGGUCCCCAAAUAUAUGUUAAGUGGAAAAGGAUGUGGGGUUGCUUAGACAACCAGGAUGUUGGCUUAGAAGCAGCCACCAUUGAAAGAGUGCGUAAUAGCUCACUGGUCGAGUGACCCCGCGCCGAAAAUGUACCGGGGCUAAACAUAUUACCGAAACUGUGGAUGAACCUCUUUAGAGGUUCGUGGUAGGAGAGCGUUCUAAGGGCGGUGAAGUCAGACCGGAAGGACUGGUGGAGCGCUUAGAAGUGAGAAUGCCGGUAUGAGUAGCGAAAGAAGGGUGAGAAUCCCUUCCACCGAAUAUCUAAGGUUUCCUGAGGAAGGCUCGUCCGCUCAGGGUUAGUCGGGACCUAAGCCGAGGCCGAUAGGCGUAGGCGAUGGACAACAGGUAGAGAUUCCUGUACCAGUGCUAAUUGUUUAACCGAUGGGGUGACACAGAAGGAUAGGGAAUCGCACGAAUGGAAAUGUGCGUCCAAGCAGUGAGUGUGAG